GAGGGUAUAGCUCAGUGGUAGAGCGCACGCCUCGCACGCCUCGCACGCAUAAGGUCCUGGGUUCAAUCCCCGAUACCUCCA
rnacentral:tRNA from 1 species